UGCUCUCUUGCCCCACCUCUCUCUCUUUCUCUCUCUCUCUCUCCUCCCCAGGCCUGCUUCUCCUCUCUCCCCUCCCCCCUUUCCUCCUAAUAAAGCUCUAAAACUAAGACUGGGUUCCGUGGAGACAGUGACCUUUCCACACAGUAAACAGUUCCGCCACCAGCGCUGCUUAUCCUUCAUUUCUUUGGUGCCGAGACUCGGAUUUGGAUGGGCUAUUCCGCCACUCUGCGUCCAGGAUUGAGCGUUUGGAAACCUAUACUGCAGUUCACUGGACCUGCGAUUGCCCGCUCUGCUUUUUUCAUUUGCCCAACCGCCUGACCGCUCCACAUACACCACACGUGUCGCCAAGAUUGCAUCCUGUCCAUCAGAAGAGCAGCCAGAGUGCCAAGCCAAGAAAGAUGAACAGCUCUGAGGCAGCAGGACAGCCCAGCAUCCCAGGACCCCUGUCUACCUCAGAAGCUCCCUUCCCUACCCACCAAGAGUCAACCGACGACCACCAAGUCAGCUGGAAGCAGUUUUGGGGGGAGAAACAAAACCCCUAUUCCUAUUCACCUGCUUUUUUAUAAUACGCAAAAAGUCUAGAAUGUUAGGAUUCUGCCCUUACUCCAGUUGCAUGACCACACAUGCGCAGUUCAGGAGUUAAGCAAAGGAUCUUGCAGCUUAUGUCACCAGUGUGUGCUGGUGAUCACGUACCCGAGGCAUGGUCACACAAUCUGUGCCUUAAAGAGCCAUGACUGAGACCACACCUGCCCUCUCACUCUGUUCUGCUCUGUCUCUUCCACACAAUCUUUCCCACUCCUCGCACCUGGUUCUUCGCCCCCACCCCUCCUCAUCCUAAUAAAGCUCUAAAACUAAGACUGGGUUCUGUUGUGAACAUGACUUUUCCACUCGGUAACCAGUGCCACCACCAGUGCCGCAUAUCAUUAAUUUCAGCUGGUCCUGGUCAAAAAUCAAUAUAUGACAAUAAAACCAUAGGAACAAGGGCUGGAGAGCAGGUUGGUGGCAGUGUCUUUAACCCCAGCACUUGGGAGAAGCAGAUCGAUCUGUACAUGAAUUCCUUUUCUUUCUUUCUUUUUUUUUUUUUUUUUUUUUCCGGUUUUUUGAGACAGGGUUUCUCUGUGUAGCACUGGCUGUCCUGGAACUCACUCUAUAGCCCAGGCUAGCCUCGAACUCACAGAGAUACACCUGACUCUGCCUCCCGAGUGCUGGGAUCAAAGGUGUGCACCACCACCAUCCAGCUAUAUAAAUGAGUUUCUAAAUGGUCUUAUUAAAUUAAAAAAAAAAAAAAAAAGGAGCCAAACAUAGGGGUGAAAGCCUUAGAUCAGGGUAAUAGGAAAGCCACCAGCCAACCUUACCUCACCAACUCUGCAGCGUCCAAAUGCAAGUUCCUUCCUGUCUACCCAAGCCUUUAUUGCCUUGCUGUUCUGCCCUCUCAUUGGCUCUCUUAGCCAGCUACUUCACUUCUGUUUCCUACAGAGCUCUGUCACUUUCUGUCUGUACAGACCUCCAGGCGUCUGUGGUUGGUAAUGGGAUUAAAGACGUGUGUCACCACAAUUAGCUCUGUUCCCCACCCAGUGUGGCCUUGAACACACAAGACCCUGCCUGCUAAGUGACAGAAUUAAGGGCUUGUGCUGCCUGAGCUCUUGUUUACUUAAAAUGGCUGGACUUUCCCCCCUGAUCUCUAGGCAAGCUUUAUUUAUUAAUAUACACAUUUUAUAUCACCAUAUUUCAGCACAAAUAAAAUAUCACCACACUGAUCUUUGUGAGCUCAAGUCCAGUCUGAUCUCCAUAGUGACAAAAGCCUCCAAAAAUUAAAAAUUAAAAAAGAAUUAAGGACAUGGAACUAAGUAAAAAGAAAGAAAGACUUAAGCUUGAGUGCUGUCAUACAACACAUUGCUGCUUCAUAGGUUUCUAUGAUGCAUCUGCUGGUAUAAAAAGAAGCUGGUUUCUCUUGAGCUAUUCAUGACUCCGAACUAUUCAGUAAAUUAUACUUUGUUAAACUAAAUUGAAACAUGUAUCUAUUCCUCAUUGUCUGAUCCCUCCAAAUAUCAAAACUUGUCAAGUACUUCUUUCAUGGUAAAGCUCCUUGCAUAGCUGCAAGGGGAUCUAUGUCCUCCCACAGCAGACCCAAGUGCAAAGCAGAGGAGCGCUGCUGACAGGAGUGUCCCCCUGGAGAAUGAUUACCCAGAAGCAGGGAGCGCCAAGGGCUUUAAGGAACUAAGUCUGAAUUUCUUGAGCCAAUGUUUACAAAGCCCUCUUGAAAAACCUCGCUGGCUGAGAGUUCACAACUUAGCAAGCUCCAAGUUAGCAAGGUACAUGAAGAGAUUGUC